rnacentral:tRNA from 1 species
GGUGGCGUAGCUCAGCGGUAAGAGCACCGAGCUGAUAACUCGGGGGUCGGUGGUUCAAUUCCACCCGUCACUUCCA